CCAACUCGGCACCUACACCACUUUAUAGAAAUAUUUUAAGAAAGUGUAGCUUAAAAUCAAAAGUUGAUACAUUUAUCAUUCCUAAAAACAUAUUUUUUCAGUUUUUUAGUGUCACUUGCAUUCUUCCAGCAGAUCCUCUCUGCAGUCAGGAUUCAUGAUCAGCUCUGUGCAUAUCAAGCUUUUGGUCCCUCGAUGCCCAAUGUUUAAUCAAUGGUAUAGGAGCAGAAGAUUGACAACCAUGAUUCCUCUGAUGUCACUUCCGCUUUCUACCUACCUUCAUCCAACUCUUCCUGGCCAGGGCUUUAAUCUCAAAAAGCAA